CAGAUACCUGAUAAAUGUCUGCUUGCUUCCCUCGGUUUCACACAGCAGGGCCGUGGGUAACACCUUUAUUCCUAUGGUCUUCAGGGAAAGGAGGAACCCAGCCAAAGCCUGAGUGGUGAGGAGGAACUCUGGCCGCAACCGUCCCUCUACUGUUUGGUUGGAAGGGGAUGCCAUUCUCAGACUUGCUGCUAACUGGGCAGGCCGGCAUAGUAAUAGUAAUAGUCGCGUCACUCAUCCCUCAUCAUGAUGCUAACCGAGGCAGCAGGAAAAGAACAGGACACAUGAGACCUGAACCCAGUCCCACAGCCACAGGCAGCCAGCAGGAUGGAGCUAAAUGGCUCAUCUGUCCGUGGGAUAGGAGAUCUUACAGAAUUGAAGUCGGGUUGAAACCUCUUGACAACCGUCUUAUCCAAAGCACACAUUUUGCAAACGAGUAGACUGAGUCCAGAAAAGAAGAGAUUUCUCUCAACUGGAUAUUUCUGUUAGCCAUUUCAAGCUCUCUGGACAUGGCUGGCCAUCAGUCACCUGCUUCUGGGUCUUGCCUGAGGAUGAUUCUGGCCUGCCCAAGAUUUGCCCUCCAUUCCCUGCAACAUCCCAUCCAAAGUCCAUAUAACCGCCUUCCAAAGUCAACUCCAAUCCAGUUUCUGUAAGAAACCCCCAGGUAGAAAAGAGUUCCUCAAAUCCUCUCCCUCACAAGGUAUAACUACUGAGCUCAUGCGUCACACUGAGUCUUGGCUGGCCAGGACUCAAACUCACCUCGACACCCCUGCCACCACCCUUCUUCAAUUUCUUAGCAACCCACCCUGCUAGGUAGGUGCCAAGUAAAUGCUUGUUAAGUCAGGCUGGUCUGCAACCUCAGUUUUCUGACAUUCGGCCAAGCACCUUCUUAAACAUAUCUUGCUGCCUCUGUUCAUUCCAAGCCUAGAAGUGUGCAAUCCCCAGAGCAGCAAAAAUAGCUCCAGCCACCUCCAAAUCCAUCAAGCUACUUCCCAGACUGACUAAAUAUGGAGCAAGAGGGAAGAAACAGAGAGGAAAGGAGAGGAGGAGCAAAGGGCGCGCGGACCACGCACUGGAUACACAACCGUGCCUGCAAGCUGUGGAGCAUGGACGCGGUCCUCCCAGCCUCACAAGGAGGAAACCUGCUGUGCAGGGAGACUCAGUGGCUGGCCCGGGGUCUCACACAGGCUCCCCUGUGGAGCAAGCACUUUCUUUUCUGCAGUCUAAAAGGGUUCUGUCUCUACCACUGUGGACGGUCUCAACACGCAGCCAUCAGCAGGGCAGACCCGUUGAGUCCCCAGCAGAGGAUGGGAGCCAUCUGGCAAAGAAGAGCAUGGCAGCACCUAUGGCAAAGGCCGUGUACUGAGAGUCACGCAACCAGCAAGGUCAGAGUGAAAUCAUCAUGGCAGAAGAAUUAUGAGACAGACCUGUGUAACUCCAGAGGCAACUCAAGGCACACAUCAGAUGGGAAUUUAAAAAAAAAAAAAAAAAAAACCUCUUUAAACACACAAGGACUCAGAUGCCAGCACACAGUGAUGGCCCCAGCCAGACAGCAAAGGCAUAUUGGCACCACUGUAAUUUGUCCAUUCACCAAUAUGCUUCCCGAAAAGCACCCAUAUGCUUUCUUUUAGCUUCCAUAUGCUUUUUUAGCAAGGAAACUAAAAUAUUUCAUUAGUUUUGAGUAAUUAAUAAUUACUUAUUUCACAAUAGUCACCCUCAUUAAAACACGAAAAUAACUGAUUAAGCUGCAGGAUCCUGGCUUUCAACUCAAGCUCUUUUCCUUUUUCCUUUUUUUUUUUUUUUAAUUCUUCUCCUCUAGGAAUUGAGUAACGGAGUAAAACAGCCAGUGUGGAAACAUCAGCGCGGUAGGAGAAUGGGGAGUUCCCACAUGCACAGCCCAGCGUGCCUCUCGACUGAGACAUCAUGGUUUAAUGAAAAGAACAUGGACUUUGUGAGCAGAAAGACUUGGGAUCCAAUCCCAGGUUGACCCCUGUGAGUCGUACUUCUGAGGAAAUGAAAGGCGUUGAAAAGAUAAAGGCUGCUGGAUUCCUUCAAGCCGGCCUUCCAUGAUUCCCAGGGAGCCACUUCACAGGUUUCCCUCCCGCCAUCGCAAGGCAUGGGGAAGGCAUGCCCCAAAAAAGGCUGGCAGCAUGCCAGCCACUGGCACCAGGCCAUGGCCAAUGGUCUUGACAUUGAUCUCGGGCAUAAAACAAUGCUUCUCCAGCUCUAAUAAGCAUAGGAACUACCUGGGGAUCUUGUUAAAAUGCAGAUUCUGAUUCAGGAGGUCUGCAGUGUGGCUUGAGGUCUGCAUUUCUAACAAGCUCCCAGGUGAUGCUGAUGCCCCUGGUCUUCAGACCAAACUUUGAGAGAAGCCAGAGCCUACAAGGUACCAAGAUGAAAUCAGAAGUAGAAUCUGGAGAAGCAGGACAAGGGUGCCUUUCUCUUCAGGCUACGAUGGCCAUUACCAGUCCUGUUAACCAUCAUGCCACCACGUGAACUUGUCCUCGCCAGAGUCCAGGCAGUAUGGUCCUGGCAGUACGAUUUCCAUUCGACACACAACAAAACCGAGACCCAAAGAAAUCAGGUCAUGUAUCAGAGGUCACGCAUCUAAGAACACCGGAUUCCCAAUCCAGGUGUGUUGGCCUAUCGAGUCUAUCUUCUGUGCAUCAGGCAGUGGAAGACAGAAAAUCUUAGGUGGGCACUACUACAGGGGCUGGUAUGAAGUCUGCUUUUUCCUCUGCCUCCGUUUCCCCACAGGUGAGGUGAAGACAUGGCACCUGACAAUCUCUGGGGCCUCUCCAACCCUCUGACACCACCUUUCACUCUCAGAGCUCCCAGGUCCACUCACAGGGGGUCACUGAGCAGGAAGCAUUAGCUUCACACAUGUGGCAGACAUUAUAUUUUGGCACGAUCCAAAUUCUAGCUGCUCACAUCUGCAUUUGUGCUGAUUCGUGCACGGUCAGAAGUCUAUCUCUGUUAAAAAAAAAAAAAUCCCACGCUCAGUCUAACAGAGAGAAAAUAAUACGCAGAUUCCCCAAAGCACUGACAUUCCAAUCCAGUUGAUAACUCACAGCUAUCAGGGAUCAGGGUACUGAGACUCUAAUCUGUUUUGUCUCUUCCUCAUCUCACCGACAAAAAUGAAGAAAUUGAGACCACUAACCUGACAGAGCUUGAAGAAAAAGGAAAAAAAAAAAAGCUAUUUACAGUGCAUUUUAUACAACUGUCCAACAUGUUUUAGUCUGCCUUGAGGUGCCAGAUAAGCAUUUAAUUAAUAAAUUAUCAUGAUUCAGGAUA